rnacentral:rRNA from 1 species
GGCCAGACUCCUACGGGAGGCAGCAGUGGGGGAUAUUGCACAAUGGGGGGAACCCUGAUGCAGCGACGCCGCGUGGGUGAAGAAGUAUUUCGGUAUGUAAAGCCCUAUCGGCAGGGAAGAAUUUAGACGGUACCUGACUAAGAAGCCCCGACUAACUACGUGCCAGCAGCCGCGGUAAUACGUAGGGGGCAAGCGUUAUCCGGAUUCACUGGGUGUAAAGGGAGCGUAGACGGCCAUGCAAGCCUGGAGUGAAAGCCCGGGGCCCAACCCCGGGACUGCUCUGGGAACUGUGCGGCUGGAGUGCGGGAGGGGCAGGCGGAAUUCCUGGUGUAGCGGUGAAAUGCGUAGAUAUUAGGAGGAACACCAGUGGCGAAGGCGGCCUGCUGGACUGCAACUGACGUUGAGGCUCGAAGGCGUGGGGAGCAAACAGGAUUAGAUACCCCAGUA